CCUGGGUUCAAUCCUCAGCACCACAUAAAAAUAAACAAAAUAAAGAUAUUGUGUACAACUAAAAAAUAUUUUUUUUUUAAAAAAAAGAACAGGGUAGGGAGAAUUUAAAGUCUUAUUUUAGAACAAGAUACCUUCCCUCCAGGUUUGAAGUCUCAAUGAGUGAGUCUAAGAUACGUCUGUGGGUGCCCUACAAGUGUCUACCACAGAGAGGGCCUGGCAUGAAUGAAUAAGACUAAAUGCAUGAAAAAGAGUUCUGGCAAGUUGAUAAAUUUGAGCCUGUCUCCCAUUCUGCAAAGUGGCAAUUAUCUUAUGGGACCAGCAGUAUAUAGUGAUUGAGGGAAUGACCUCAGGUGCCAGGAUCCUGGUUCUGAUAUUUACUAGAUGAGUAGGUAAGGUACCUUCUGUUUUCCAUUGGAAAAUGGAGAUGUUAAUAGUGUCUACUUCACAGGAUUUUUAUGAAGAUUAAAUAACACAUAACAUGUAGAAAAGUGAGUGGGAUAUAGUGGGUGCUCAGAAUGUGUUAAUUAUUGCUUUGAGGAUUUAAAUGGGAAAGGUGUGAUGUUAACCUUGUCUAGUUCAAAAUUCUCCACGCACUGUUUUUGUUCCCUCAUUCUCGGUUCUUGUGGAAUAGAAUGGUCUUUGCAAAGGGAGCCAGGGACCAGCUUGGGGAAGGAACCUGGGAGCUGAUUUCUGGGAUCAACCCUCUUUGUGGGAAGACCCAAGGCUUGGGCAGAUCCUCUCUCCCUAUGCUUUUGUUAGUCAAGACAGAGCGCCCUCUCCUGUUCAAAUGUGGGAACAUCACUGGCCCAGAAUUUUCGGGGUGAGCCUCACAGGGUCUCAGAGCCUGCAAGGUGCUCUUCCCCAGAAUGAAAUGCCCCAACCAGCUCAGAGGAGCAAGGUGAUGGGGACGCGGCCGAGAGGGCCUCCUGGUCAGGAUUCCUCCCAGGUGCUGCGGAUGGAGGCGUGGGGUAGCCUUGGAACCCCAUAGACUAGUUUCGAAUCUCAGCUCUGCCAGUUAUUAGCCUGUGACUUUGAGUAAGUGUUUUUAACCAUCUUAAACUCUUUUCCUCUUAUGUAAAAUGGAAACACAGCCUAUAGUGCCACUUCAUGGAAUUAUAGUGAGAACUGAAAGAAACAAUGUAUAUUAUUAAGUGCUGAACAGGGUGCUU
rnacentral:lncRNA from 1 species